CCUACGGGUGGCAGCAGUGGGGAAUAUUGGACAAUGGGGGGAACCCUGAUCCAGCCAUGCCGCGUGUGUGAAGAAGGCCCUCGGGUUGUAAAGCACUUUCAGUGAGGAAGAACGCCUGGUGGUUAAUACCCAUCAGGAAAGACAUCACUCACAGAAGAAGCACCGGCUAACUCCGUGCCAGCAGCCGCGGUAAUACGGAGGGUGCGAGCGUUGAUCGGAAUUACUGGGCGUAAAGCGCGCGUAGGUGGCUUGAUAAGCCGGUUGUGAAAGCCCCGGGCUCAACCUGGGAACGGCAUCCGGAACUGUCAAGCUAGAGUGCAGGAGAGGAAGGUAGAAUUCCCGGUGUAGCGGUGAAAUGCGUAGAGAUCGGGAGGAAUACCAGUGGCGAAGGCGGCCUUCUGGACUGACACUGACACUGAGGUGCGAAAGCGUGGGUAGCAAACAGGAUUAGAUACCCCGGUAGUC
rnacentral:rRNA from 1 species